AGCAAUCAGCGAGACUCCGUGGGCAUAGGACCCUCUGAGCCAGGUGCGGGAUAUAAUCUCGUGGUGCACCGUUUUUUAAGCCAGUCUGAAAAGCGCAAUAUUCGGGUGGGAGUGACCCGAUUUUCCAGGACAGUGCUAGGACUGCUUUUUUCUAUAUCAGACACGUGGGCUCCUGCUGUGUCUUCCUGGAAAGCAGAGGCCAAGGAUGGAGCAGACCAAGAGGAUGCCAGGAAAAAUCACAAAGAAGCCCAGAAAGCACAGCUGGAAGCCAAGAACCCUAUUUUUGGUUUGUGUGGGUGGAAGGUGAGGGACAACAUAUAGUGACCAACAGGAUUCUUCAUUUGAAAGAGAAUGGAGUACAUCAGACCUGUGUAUUUAGGUGAAGUAUGAUAAACAUCAUCAUACUUCAAAGAUUAUGAACAUCAAAGAUUAUGGAAAGGAACAUGACUGCUUAGUUUAUUCCAUUACCAGUGAUCUGCUUGUUUGUUCAUUUGCUUACCCAUCCAUUCAUUUAUUCAUUCAUUCCUCCAUCCAUUCUCUUUCACUUAUUCUACAAUCAUGAUUGUAUGCCUACCAUAUCGCUAGAGAGAGGGCAGGAAAAGAUCCAAGGAUGUGAAUACAAUCUUCUGCUUCAUGAUGAGAGCUAAAGGAAUCUGUAAAGACUUUGUCUUUUUCAUUUUUCUCUCUCCUACAUAGACCCUGGAAAAUGUUUUAUUUCUUAUAAUUUGCCUGAGGUUUACUCAUCCACUACCAGAGCUCUGAAAACACUCUUCAGAACACUAUUUUAAAAUAAUGACAAUGACAAUAAUAGAUAACAUAUAUUCAGUGUUUUUUGUAUGUGAAGCAAUGUAAUAACCAUUUAAAAUGAUUGUAACUAUACUUUAUAAGAGUAUGAUGAAACAGGCACUAUUAAAAUGCUAGUUUUUCACACAGC
rnacentral:lncRNA from 1 species